rnacentral:rRNA from 1 species
UGCCCCGAGAUGAGUUCUCCCUGACUCCUUGAGAGUCCUGAAGGAACGUUGAAGACGACGACGUUGAUAGGCCGGGUGUGUAAGCGCAGCGAUGCGUUGAGCUAACCGGUACUAAUGAACCGUGAGGCUUAACCUUACAACGCCGAAGCUGUU